AGGUAGCUACGAGGCAGGGUCAGGUCAGCGUAGGUAGAUCCGGUUGGAGCAGGUAUUUGAAUACUCCUUGUAUAUGGACAAAGGAGGAAGUUGAAGCAUGGAAACCGAUUGUAGAUGUUGUUCAUGCUUAAGGCGGGGAUACUCUUUUCUCAGAUUUGGCAUGCGGGAAGAGUUUCAAACAGAUGUGUGUUCUAUGUCUUUUACUUUAUUAUAUUGUAACUAUUGAAUCAUUCUGGGUUAAUACUACUGACUCUUUAUGUUUUCCAUUACAUACAUUCUUUGUGUUAUAUUGAUCUACAAAUUAGUUUGUUGUAAGUGGAAGAUAUUAUGGGUAUACAGUCAGCUUGCAAUAA